GACGAACGCUGGCGGCGUGCUUAACACAUGCAAGUCGAACGGAAAGGCCCUGCGUUUGUGGGGUGCUCGAGUGGCGAACGGGUGAGUAACACGUGAGUAACCUGCCCUUGACUUUGGGAUAACUUCAGGAAACUGGGGCUAAUACCGGAUAGGAGCUCCUGCUGCAUGGUGGGGGGUGGAAAGUUUCGGCGGUUGGGGAUGGACUCGCGGCUGAUCAGCUUGUUGGUGGGGUAGGGGCUUCCCCAGGCUUUGACUGGUAGGCGGCCUGAGAGGGUGACCGGGCACCUUGGUCCUGAGAUACGGCCCAGACUCCUACGGGAGGCAGCAGUGGGGAAUCUUGCACAAUGGGCGGACGCCUGAUGCAGCAACGCCGCGUGCGGGAUGCCGGCCUUCUGGUUGUAAACCGCUUUCGCCUGUGACGAAGCGUUAGUGACGGUAAUGGGUAAAGAAGCACCGGCUAACUACGUG
rnacentral:rRNA from 1 species